UAGAGGAAGUAAAAGUCGUAACAAGGUCUCCGUUGGUGAACCAGCGGAGGGAUCAUUACUGAGUUUACGCUCUACAACCCUUUGUGAACAUACCUAUAACUGUUGCUUCGGCGGGUAGGGUCUCCGCGACCCUCCCGGCCUCCCGCCUCCGGGCGGGUCGGCGCCCGCCGGAGGAUAACCAAACUCUGAUUUAACGACGUUUCUUCUGAGUGGUACAAGCAAAUAAUCAAAACUUUUAACAACGGAUCUCUUGGUUCUGGCAUCGAUGAAGAACGCAGCGAAAUGCGAUAAGUAAUGUGAAUUGCAGAAUUCAGUGAAUCAUCGAAUCUUUGAACGCACAUUGCGCCCGCCAGCAUUCUGGCGGGCAUGCCUGUUCGAGCGUCAUUUCAACCCUCAAGCUCUGCUUGGUGUUGGGGCCCUACAGCCGAUGUAGGCCCUCAAAGGUAGUGGCGGACCCUCUCGGAGCCUCCUUUGCGUAGUAACUUUACGUCUCGCACUGGGAUCCGGAGGGACUCUUGCCGUAAAACCCCCAAUUUUCCAAAGGUUGACCUCGGAUCAGGUAGGAAUACCCGCUGAACUUAAGCAUAUCAAUA
rnacentral:rRNA from 1 species